rnacentral:rRNA from 1 species
AGUGAACGCUGGCGGUAGGCCUAACACAUGCAAGUCGAACGGCAGCACAGUAAGAGCUUGCUCUUACGGGUGGCGAGUGGCGGACGGGUGAGGAAUACAUCGGAAUCUACUUUUUCGUGGGGGAUAACGUAGGGAAACUUACGCUAAUACCGCAUACGACCUACGGGUGAAAGCAGGGGAUCUUCGGACCUUGCGCGAUUGAAUGAGUCGAUGUCGGAUUAGCUAGUUGGCGGGGUAAAGGCCCACCAAGGCGACGAUCCGUAGCUGGUCUGAGAGGAUGAUCAGCCACACUGGAACUGAGACACGGUCCAGACUCCUACGGGAGGCAGCAGUGGGGAAUAUUGGACAAUGGGCGCAAGCCUGAUCCAGCCAUACCGCGUGGGUGAAGAAGUCCUUCGGGUUGUAAAGCCCUUUUGUUGGGAAAGAAAAGCAGCAGGUUAAUACCCCGCUGUUCUGACGGUACCCAAAGAAUAAGCACCGGCUAACUUCGUG